rnacentral:rRNA from 1 species
CCUACGGGUGGCAGCAGUGAGGAAUAUUGGUCAAUGGACGCAAGUCUGAACCAGCCAUGCCGCGUGCAUGAAGACGGCUCUAUGAGUUGUAAGCUGCGUUUGUACGAGGGUAGGCGCAGAUACGCGGAGAUGUCGGAAAGUAGCGUACGAAUAAGCAUCGGCUAACUCCGUGCCAGCAGCCGCGGUAAUACGGAGGAUUCAAGCGUUAUCCGGAUUGAUUGGGUGUAAAGGGUGCGUAGGCGGUCGGAUAAGUUAGAGGUGAAAUCCCGAGGCUCAACUUCGGAAUUGCCUCUGAUACUGUUCGGCUAGAGUGUAGUUGCGGUAGGCGGAAUGUAUGGUGUAGCGGUGAAAUGCUUAGAGAUCAUACAGAACACCGAUUGCGAAGGCAGCUUACCAAGCUACUACUGACGUUGAGGCACGAAAGCGUGGGGAGCAAACAGGAUUAGAUACCCGGGUAGUC